GCCGACAUAGCUCAGGGGUAGAGCAAUGGUUUUGUAAACCAUAGGUCGGGGGUUCAAAUCCCUCUGUCGGCU
rnacentral:tRNA from 1 species